AUACUUACCUGGCGUAGGGGUUUACAAUGAUCAGGAAGGUUGUUCCCCCAGUCUGAGGACUGCCCAUUGCACUUCGGGUGGUUUGACGGCUGCGAUUAUUCAGCAUAUGAAUAACUCGUUCGCGCAAUUUUUGGUAGCAGGGGCUUGCGUUCGCGCUUGCCCCUA
rfam:Clunio marinus genome assembly, contig: CLTMA_superscaffold_61